rnacentral:rRNA from 1 species
AUGGAACUAGACAAAUUCCUCAUGAAUGAUGAAUACACCUUUGCCGGAUUCGCCAUUGAAGGAGACAAAAAGAAGCUGAAGCUAUCUGGCUUGGAGAUCAACUACGACAACUACAUUGUUAUUCAAGUGGAAUGGAGAGACCCAUACAAUAAAAAGAAGUUUGACUCUUUGGCUGAUGUUGCCGGCAGGAUGAUAGACAUUCACUACCAUGACAUGAAGAAUAAAAUUAACCGCAAGGAGGACCAUACUGUGUGGGGAUUUUGCCUACUACCAGACAAACUUAUCAAGUAUGAAGCAAUAGAUGCAUUCGUAACAUAUGAGUCAUGGAGAAUCAUCUACGAUGUCAUAAUGGGACUGGACAGGGCAAAAAGAGAAAAAGAAGCGAAGAAGAAGAACAAGGCUAUAAUCCAAUACAACAACUAG